rnacentral:rRNA from 1 species
CAUAGCGACUAUCGUGGCAUAUCAAUAAGCGGAGGAAAAGAAACUAACAAGGAUUCCCCUAGUAACGGCGAGUGAAGCGGGAAGAGCUCAAAUUUGAAAUCUUAAAGGGUUUCCCUUUACGAAUUGUAGUUUAAAGAAGUGUUUUCUGUUGGAGUUUCGGUAAAAGUUCUUUGGAAUAGGACAUCAUAGAGGGUGAGAAUCCCGUAUUUGACCGUUACUUUCCAGCUGUGUGAUACACUUUCAAAGAGUCGGAUUGUUUGGGAAUGCAGUCCAAGAUGGGUGGUAAAUUUCAUCUAAAGCUAAAUAUUGGCGAGAGACCGAUAGCGAACAAGUACCGUGAGGGAAAGAUGAAAAGAACUUUGAAAGAGAGUUAAACAGUACGUGAAAUUGUCAAAAGGGAAGCGUUUGACACUAGUGUUGUUUAGUUGAAAAUCAAUUCAAUAGUUUUUGAUUCUAAGUAGUAUUGACUUCAUCAGCUUGCUGCUUUCUUCUCAGAAAUUAUUGAAUGCACUUUUCAGUUAACAAGUCAACAUCAAUUUCUUUUGUUGUAAAAGGGUAAGAGGAAGGUGGCUUGCGCUUCGGCUCAAGUGUUUAUAGCCUUUUAUCUCUGCAAUCGGAGAGAUUGAGGUCUGCAGCGUAGAUCCUUCGGGGUUAGAUACAUUGGUGCUAAGCUAUAGUUCUUGUAUAGACAACUUGUUGACUAUGAUCAGUCCUGUAGCUUACUCGCUGAUGCUAUUUUACCUACGCUUAGGAUGUUGACGCGCGUGUGUGCGUG